rnacentral:rRNA from 1 species
GAUGAACGCUAGCUACAGGCCUAACACAUGCAAGUCGAGGGGUAACAAGAGAAAAGCUUGCUUUUCUUGUUGACGACCGGCGCACGGGUGAGUAACGCGUAUCCAACCUGCCUAUAACUAGGGAAUAACCUUGCGAAAGUAAGACUAAUACCCUAUGAUUUCCUUUGAUGACAUCAGAUUAGGAAUAAAGAUUUAUCGGUUAUAGAUGGGGAUGCGUCUGAUUAGCUUGUUGGCGGGGUAACGGCCCACCAAGGCAACGAUCAGUAGGGGUUCUGAGAGGAAGGUCCCCCACAUUGGAACUGAGACACGGUCCAAACGCCUACGGGAGGCAGCAGUGAGGAAUAUUGGUCAAUGGGCGGAAGCCUGAACCAGCCAAGUAGCGUGCAGGAUGACGGCCCUAUGGGUUGUAAACUGCUUUUAUACAGGAAUAAAGUUAGCCACGUGUGGUUAUUUGUAGGUACUGUAUGAAUAAGGACCGGCUAAUUCCGUGCCAGCCGCCGCAGUAA